GCAAUUGAAAGCAAUUAAACUCGCUGACAUGUUUUAGUUCUAAAGCACUUCUUUUUUCUAAAAAAGAAAAAAAAGAAAAAGAAAAGAAAAGAAAAAAAGAAAAAGAGAAAGAGAGAGAGAGAGAGAGUAAAACUCUAAUCCCAAACAACCGGCAAGGUAGCUAAUAUUAGUUGUCUUCCGAGUUCCAACAUAUGAUUGAA
rnacentral:lncRNA from 1 species